GACAGUUGUGUGGCUGAGUGGUCUAAGGCGCUGGAUUUAGGCUCCAGUCUCCCAGGAGCAGUGGGUUCAAAUCCCACCACUGUCG